UGGGGGAAUUUUGGGACAAUGGGGGGCAACCCUGAUCCAGCCAUCCCGCGUGUGCGAUGAAGGCCUUCGGGUUGUAAAGCACUUUUUAUCAGGAGCGAAAACGCUGUCGGCUAAUACCCCGGCGGAACUGACGGUACCUGAGGAAUAAGCACCGGCUAACUUCGUGCCAGCAGCCGCGGUAAUACGAAGGGGUGCAAGCGUUAAUCGGAAUUACUGGGCGUAAAGCGUGCGUAGGCGGUUUCUUAAGUCUGCUGUGAAAUCCCCGGGCUCAACCUGGGAAUGGCAGUGGAUACUGGGAGGCUAGAGUGUGUCAGAGGGUGGUGGAAUUCCCGGUGUAGCGGUGAAAUGCGUAGAGAUCGGGAGGAACAUCAGUGGCGAAGGCGGCCACCUGGGGACAACACUGACGCUGAGGCACGAAAGCGUGGGGAGCAAACAGGAUUAGAUACCCUGGUAGUCCACGCCCUAAAACGAUGCGAACUGGAUGUUGGUCUCAACUCGGAGAUCAGUGUCGAAGCUAACGCGUUAAGUUCGCCGCCU
rnacentral:rRNA from 1 species